rnacentral:snRNA from 1 species
GUGCUUCCUUCAGCAGCACAUAUACUAAAAAUUGGAACAAUAUAGAGAAGAUCAACAUGGCUCCUGCACAAGGAUGCCAUGCAAAUUCCUGAAGCAUUCCAUAUUUCA